CUAACACAUGCAAGUCGAGCGAGGUAUUUAUACCUAGCGGCGGACGGGUGAGUAACACGUGGGUAACCUGCCUCAGAGAGGGGAAUAGCCUUCCGAAAGGAAGAUUAAUACCGCAUAAUAUAUACUUUUAGCAUUAUGAGUAUAUCAAAGGAGCAAUCCGCUUUGAGAUGGGCCCGCGGCGCAUUANCUANUUGGAGAGGUAACGGCUCACCAAGGCAACNAUGCNUA
rnacentral:rRNA from 1 species